CUGGACCUGCAUCGUUGCGGGGAAGUCCAUCAAGCUUCAAUUAGACAUAUGAAUGAGCGAGAAUCCAUUAGGCUUCUGUCCGUAGAUGGAUGCGACUCUUGACAUCCUCCAUUCGCAAGUUCAAACAAUCCGAAGGCAUGACAAUUUGCAGGUCGCAGCUGGAGGCGGAUACUGUGGAGGAUAACCUGCAGGAGCGCAGGGCGGAUACUGUGGAGGAUAACCUGCAGGAGCGAAAGUGGGAUAACCGGCUGGUGGAGGAGGGUAGGCAGGAGGCGGUGGAUAUGUGCUCGAACUGGGAGGAUACGCCGAGUAAGUAGGUGGGGGAGGAUAUGCAGAUGGCGGGUAUGUGGUUGAAGCAGGAGGAUAUGCCGGCACCGCGGUGUAUGGUGAUGGGGUUGGAUAAGGAGAUGCAGUUGUUUGGGGGUAAGGCAGGAUGCCGGGCAUGGUUGGGUUCGGGAUUCCGCACGGCGGAGCCGAUGGUUUGGCUUUCGUCUUUGAUUGCUUGUCACAGAUCACGGGAAAGCAGAAUUUUGUGAUCCUGUUAGUUUCAUUGUUCAACGUGCCUAUUCAUGCAAAUGAAUGAGAAAAACUAGUCUGUCAA